UACGAAGGGGGCUAGCGUUGCUCGGAAUCACUGGGCGUAAAGGGGGCGUAGGCGGGGCUUUAAGUCAGGGGUGAAAUCCUGGAGCUCAACUCCAGAACUGCCUUUGAUACUGAAGAUCUUGAGUUCGGGAGAGGUGAGUGGAACUGCGAGUGUAGAGGUGAAAUUCGUAGAUAUUCGCAAGAACACCAGUGGCGAAGGCGGCUCACUGGCCCGGUACUGACGCUGAGGUGCGAAAGCGUGGGGAGCAAACAGG
rnacentral:rRNA from 1 species